UCAAUUAAAGCCAAAAAGAGGCAUACCACUGUUAAUGGUAUUACUGGGUACAUCUUUGACCCUAAUUGAG
rnacentral:tRNA from 1 species